AUUGAACGCUGGCGGCAUGCCUUACACAUGCAAGUCGAACGCGAAAGAGGGGCAACCCUUGAGUAGAGUGGCGAACGGGUGAGUAACGCAUCGGAACGUAUCCAGUAGUGGGGGAUAACCCAUCGAAAGAUGGGCUAAUACCGCAUACGCCCCGAGGGGGAAAGUGGGGGAUCCGCAAGGACCUCACGUUAUUGGAGCGGCCGGUGUCCGCUUAGCUAGUUGGCGGGGUAAGAGCCCACCAAGGCGACGAUCGGUAGCUGGUCUGAGAGGAUGAUGAGCCACACGGGGACUGAGACACGGCCCAGACUCCUACGGGAGGCAGCAGUGGGGAAUUUUGGACAAUGGGGGCAACCCUGAUCCAGCCAUGCCGCGUGAGUGAAGAAGGCCUUCGGGUUGUAAAGCUCUUUCGGCCGGAACGAAAUCGCAUCCUCUAAUACGGGGUGUGGAUGACGGUACCGGAAGAAGAAGCACCGGCUAACUACGUGCCAGCAGCCGCCGUAACAC
rnacentral:rRNA from 1 species